rnacentral:rRNA from 1 species
AUUGAACGCUGGCGGCAGGCUUAACACAUGCAAGUCGAGCGAGCGGCGGACGGGUGAGUAAGGACUGGGAAACUGCCUGAUGGAGGGGGAUAACUAAUGGAAACGGUAGCUAAUACCGCAUACCCUAAGAUGUGCCAAGAUGGGAUUAGCUAGUAGGUGGGGUAAUGGCUCACCUAGGCGACGAUCCGUCGCGGGUCUGAGAGGAUGACCAGCAACACUGGAACUGAGACACGGUCCAGACUCCUACGGGAGGCAGCAGUGGGGAAUAUUGCACAAUGGGCGCAAGCCUGAUGCAGCCAUGCCGCGUGUGUGAAGAAGGCCUUCGGGUUGUAAAGCACUUUCAGCGAGGAGGCGUUACUCGCAGAAGAAGCACCGGCUAACUCCGUGCCAGCAGCCGCGGUAAUUC